GACCGUGUUCACAUCCGCCCAGCUCUGUUGCCAGGGAAGAACGCUUGGGAGAGUAACUGCUCCCAAGGUGACGGUACCUGAGAAGAAAGCCCCGGCUAACUACGUGCCAGCAGCCGCGGUAAUACGUAGGGGGCAAGCGUUGUCCGGAAUUAUUGGGCGUAAAGCGCGCGCAGGCGGUUCAUUAAGUUUGGUGUUUAAGGCCAGGGCUCAACCCUGGUUCGCACUGAAAACUGGUGGACUUGAGUGCAGAAGAGGAAAGUGGAAUUCCACGUGUAGCGGUGAAAUGCGUAGAGAUGUGGAGGAACACCAGUGGCGAAGGCGACUUUCUGGGCUGUAACUGACGCUGAGGCGCGAAAGCGUGGGGAGCAAACAGGAUAAGAUACCCUGGUAGUCCACGCCGUAAACGAUGAAUGCUAGGUGUUAGGGGUUUCCAUACCCUUGGGGCCGAAGUAACACAUUAAGCAUUCCGCCGGGGGAGC
rnacentral:rRNA from 1 species